CGGAGGAUGCAAGCGUUAUCCGGAUUCAUUGGGUUUAAAGGGUGCGUAGGCGGGAUAUUAAGUCAGUGGUGAAAUCUCUCAGCUCAACUGAGAAACUGCCGUUGAUACUGAUGUUCUUGAGUUUGGCUGAAGUGGGCGGAAUGAGGCAUGUAGCGGUGAAAUGCAUAGAUAUGCCUCAGAACACCAAUUGCGAAGGCAGCUCACUAAACCAAUACUGACGCUGAGGCACGAAAGCGUGGGGAGCAAACAGGAUUAGAUACCCUGGUAGUCCACGCUGUAAACGAUGAUUACUCGCUGUUGGCGAUACACUGUCAGCGGCUAAGCGAAAGUGAUAAGUAAUCCACCUGGGGAGUACGGUCGCAAGACUG
rnacentral:rRNA from 1 species